CACGGGGCCGCUGCCACAUGGGGCCGGAUGCGACACUAAUAUAACGCGCGUUCUCGAUGACUUGUUAUCACCUUCCCACUCCCAUCAGACGCACCACGGGUCUCCUAUGAAGAUAGCGUAUCAUUCUUGAAAAUCACUAUUGAAAAUUAAAAGUGCCUCGUUGUUUUGGAAAGAAAUGUUGCUACAGCCAACACUGCUAUGUGAUCAGCCCAUGUUCCAUUUCUUCUCAAAUUAAUCAGAUAGCUUGCCCAGUCUUUGUUGACAACAAAGUGACAUAUCAAGAGGUUUGCCUUCUGUAUCCUGGAUAUGCAAGG